rnacentral:rRNA from 1 species
AUUGAACGCUGGCGGCAGGCCUAACACAUGCAAGUAGGACGCAGUUGCGAACGGGUGAGUAACGCGUAGGUAACUACCUAUUAGAGGGGGAGAAAUAAUGGAAACGAUAGCUAAUACCGCAUACUAGUAGAUGGACCUGUGUUGUAUUGGCUAGUAGGUAGGGUAAUGGCCUCCCCAGGCAACGAUACAUAGCCGACCUGUGAGGGUGAUCGGCCACAAUUGGACUGAGACCCGGCCCAGACUCCUACAGGAGGCAGCAGUAGGGAAUCUUCGGCAAUGGGGGGAACCCUUACCGAGCAACGCCGCGUGAGUGAAGAAGGUUUUCGGAUCGGAAAGCUCUGUUGUUAAGGAAGCGGUACUUAACCAGAAAGGGACGGCUAACUACGUGCCAGCAGCCGCGGUAAUAC